rnacentral:misc_RNA from 1 species
GAAAUGCGAUACGCAAUGCGAAUUGCAGAAUUCCGCGAAUCAUCAGAUUCUUGAACGCAACUGGCGCUGGAGGGAUAUCCUUCCAGCAUGUCUGUUUCAGUGUCUGAAAACAUCCAAACAAUUUAAUGUGUUUGACAAGGAGCAAUCUUUUAUAGAUUGAUUUCCAAGUCUUACAUCAAAGAUGUAUGUGUGGGUCUUUGGAUCCAUCGAAUUGGUCACUGAUUCUUCGGUGAUUUCGAUUGGAUAUCACCAAUUACUCGUAUACACAUAGAAUAAAUAUAUUCAUAUAUUAUACUUUAUCAUCUGCAUCUGAAAUCAGGCAAGAAAACCCGCUGAACUUAA